UGCCAGUAGCGCAGGUUGCCAAGGCGCAUCGCGUGGAAAUCGGUGGUGCCGGCGGUGCUGAUGCCGUUGCUGAAGC
rnacentral:tRNA from 1 species